GACGAACGCUGGCGGCGUGCUUAACACAUGCCAGUCGAACGGAAAGGCCCUGCUUGCAGGGUACUCGAGUGGCGAACGGGUGAGUAACACGUGGGUGAUCUGCCCUGCACUUCGGGAUAAGCCUGGGAAACUGGGUCUAAUACCGGAUAGGAGCCAUUUUUAGUGUGAUGGUUGGAAAGUUUUUUUCGGUGUAGGAUGAGCUCGCGGCCUAUCAGCUUGUUGGUGGGGUAAUGGCCUACCAAGGCGGCGACGGGUAGCCGGCCUGAGAGGGUGGACGGCCACAUUGGGACUGAGAUACGGCCCAGACUCCUACGGGAGGCAGCAGUGGGGAAUAUUGCACAAUGGGCGCAAGCCUGAUGCAGCGACGCCGCGUGGGGGAUGACGGCCUUCGGGUUGUAAACUCCUUUCGCUAGGGACGAAGCUUUUUGUGACGGUACCUAGAGAAGAAGCACCGGCUAACUACGUG
rnacentral:rRNA from 1 species